rnacentral:sRNA from 1 species
AGCGCCUGCGAAGGACGAAGCGGUGCCCCCAUCGGAAUUGAAGGUCUUGCAGGCGACCGGGCACCGUACCGUCACGUGAUAGCAAACUUUUGCUAUUCAAAACCGUU